UACGUAGGGUGCAAGCGUUAAUCGGAAUUACUGGGCGUAAAGCGUGCGCAGGCGGUUCGCUAAGACAGAUGUGAAAUCCCCGGGCUUAACCUUGGAACUGCAUUUGUGACUGGCGGGCUAGAGUAUGGCAGAGGGGGGUAGAAUUCCACGUGUAGCAGUGAAAUGCGUAGAGAUGUGGAGGAAUACCGAUGGCGAAGGCAGCCCCCUGGGCCAAUACUGACGCUCAUGCACGAAAGCGUGGGGAGCAAACAGG
rnacentral:rRNA from 1 species